AUUCUGAAAGUGAAGAAGAGUAGAAAUAUGAGGACUACUCGGUAAAUCCUGAGAUGGAAACUAGAAUUAAGCAAGCUAAAGAUAUUGUUCAAAACACUCGAGAUGUUACUUAGGAAACUUAGCAAGAAGCUCAUGAUAUUUAGGAGGGUACUGGAGAGAAAAAAUAGUUGGAUCACAAUCCUGACCUUACUAUUACUGAAAUGCAAGUUGAAACACAAAAGUAUAGGAUCCUGUACAAGAAACUCCCAUAAGAUCUUAUCAACCUGAGGAAUUAUCUAAUCAAGCAGAAAAGCCUCCAAUAGCAUUUAUUGCUAAGGUUGCCGAACUCACUCAAGGACUAGAUUGGAAAAUCCUGCUCAAGAAACCAUCCUUCACAUACAUCAACUAUUACAUAUCAUAUUGCAAUUACUUAGCAAGUCUUACAGGAGCUAGAAAUGGAAGACACAAGCCUUCUAAACAGCAAACGUACAAGGGCAAGAAAAGAAAGAGAUUAGAAGGAUCCAAAUCUAAGAAGAAGUUUGACCAAGCUUAAAAAGUCCUUAGGAUCUAGUUAUUUAGGAUUUUCUUAGAAAUAGGAUUUCUCUCUAUUUUGUUUUGUCUACUACACUUAUUUAGGAGGAACUCUUAUUUAUGUUUGAUUAUUGUUGUAGUACCUUUUCUCUAUGAUUUAAUGUUAAUGUUUGCCUUUAUUUGCAUAAUUUCUUGAUUUUGUUGCACAAUUAUCUUAUUCCUGCUAUAUUACGUGGCUGUUAUUGUUUUAAUGAUGCCAGAAAGGGGAGACAAUACGAUUGUUGACUAAUAUUGUUGAUUAAUCCCUUAUUAAUUGGUUUACCAAAUAAUCUCCAUUUUUUAUGAUGACAAAUCAAUGUGAUGAUAGCUAACAAGUUCAUUCAAGUAUGCAGAAAUUUUUUGAAGUGCAGAGUGCUUCACAUAAUCUCGAACAAAUGAGCAACACCUUCGAAUGUCCGAAUUGCACUAAGAGUAUCAUAAAAGGUGGCAUUUUGAACUACAUGAAUGAAUGAUUGGAUGAAUGGAUAACUUUAUUGAUCAUCCAAAAAAGGGCUAAACACCUAAUAAAGCCCCAUAGACAAAACAAAUGAAAAGUCGGAUGGAUCAACAACCACUAUAAUCAUCUGAAAGUCUCAUACAAGUCUCGCAAAAGAAGACAAAUACAACUAUGCAGAUGAUUGAUCAGACGUAAUCAUCAAAACUACAGCCAUCCACAUUGAGCAUAAGGGUUUCAAGCCAAAGAAGAAAUGGAUACAUCUUCCACUAUUUGACACGUCUCUCAGAAGGUUAAAAGAAGCAUUGUCAAGCAUUCAGAUGAUGUCUCAUGCUUUUCAACCGUUAACUUUGCUCCCAACGACUAUUGCUUUUUCUAUUUAUUGUAGACAGUUGAGGAGAAGUAAAGCAAAAUUCUAUUCUAUAUUUAAACCAACAGUUUCAAUUAGUUUAAU
rnacentral:lncRNA from 1 species